rnacentral:rRNA from 1 species
GAUGAACGCUGGCGGCGUGCCUAAUACAUGCAAGUCGAGCGAACAGACGAGGAGCUUGCUCCUCUGACGUUAGCGGCGGACGGGUGAGUAACACGUGGAUAACCUACCUAUAAGACUGGGAUAACUUCGGGAAACCGGAGCUAAUACCGGCUAAUCUAUUGAAACGCAUGGUUCAAUAGUGAAAGACGGUUUUGCUGUCCCUUAUAGAUGGAUCCGCGCCGCAUUAGCUAGUUGGUAAGGUAACGGCUUACCAAGGCAACGAUGCGUAGCCGACCUGAGAGGGUGAUCGGCCACACUGGAACUGAGACACGGUCCAGACUCCUACGGGAGGCAGCAGUAGGGAAUCUUCCGCAAUGGGCGAAAGCCUGACGGAGCAACGCCGCGUGAGUGAUGAAGGUCUUCGGAUCGUAAAACUCUGUUAUUAGGGAAGAACAAAUGUGUAAGUAACUAUGCACGUCUUGACGGUACCUAAUCAGAAAGCCACGGCUAACUACGUG